rnacentral:tRNA from 1 species
GCUCGUAUGGCGCAGUGGUAGCGCAGCAGAUUGCAAAUCUGUUGGUC